AAGGUAUUAGUUAAUACAUAACACUUCUUUGUCAAAGAAAAGUAAAAGGUUGAACCCCAUUAUAUCUUU
rnacentral:tRNA from 1 species